rnacentral:rRNA from 1 species
CCUGAGAAACCCAAAAGAUCGAUCGGGGAGAUUCAUCGUCAGCGAUUCUGGUACGUGCGCGGCUCGCGAUGUCGCGGGACUCUGUUCUGUGACACGCGUCCGAGCAUGGUUGUAUUGCCAGGUGUCGUCGGCGUGCACUUCUCCCCUAGUAGGACGUCGCGACCCGUCAAGUGUCGGUCUACGGCCCGGAUGGUAGUCUGUCGUGCGACGCACCYCAUGCCGACAUGCAAUAGAGCCCCGGUCGCCAAACCGGCUGCCUGGCGGUAUUCGCACGGUAUCGGGCCGCAAAUAUUCGAACUGCGUCCGGCCCGCCGCAAGCGAGGUCAGUGUUUCCCGGAUGUGCGGACCUAGCGCCGCCACCGGGCCUGGCCAGCUGUUGGUCGGCGGUGUCCUGGGACUGGCUCAUUAAAUUAUAAUACCGGUCGGCGACGCUACUGCUUUGGGUACUUUCAGGACCCGUCUUGAAACACGGA